CCACGCCCGCCAAUAGGGAGCAGACGCAGGAGAGGUGCUUGCCUGGGUGGCCCCCCUGGACUGCCACUUCCCGGUGGCGUUCUUGUCGCCCUCGUGAUUCGGCCUCUCGCUUCACACUGCCCACUCAGUCUCGCCACGGUUCAAAAAGCCAAACUGCCCUUUUUUUGCCCCCGGAGGCACGUCCCACUGACUCACUCCUCGGGGACUUUUUGGGCGCGAUGUUGCAGCCUCCUAUAUAGAGAGUGAUGGGGCAGGCAGUGGGGGUCCGGGAGCUCACCCGGGACCCACCCUUGGGUCCAAGGGCGGGAGCGAAGGAGGAAGGAAGGGAUGGAGGAGGCGGCAAAGUUAACUCGCCUCCUGGGCGUUAACAGGGUCAGCUACUGGUUGGCGGGGGACAGCCCACGUCCAGGGCUCUUCCUUCCCCCUACACCCGCCGCGACCCCCUCUCGCGCACACCGUCUUUUGAAGGCGGAUCACUUGAGUGGAGUGCCCAGCGCCGAAUAGGAAAAUAUUUACUCUUUCUCAGAGGAAAUUAAAUCAGGAAUUUCUGGACCACACUUCGUCACACGGAUUUUCCCAAUGUCUGCAAAAGCCAGAGCGUGUGUCUCUUAUUUUGAAUGAAGUGGAGAUUUUAAGUUACAAACGGAAAAUCUUCAAGUUACUCAGAUUAAAAGCCAAACUGCUCCUUGUCGGUUCCAGAAAGCCAGGCACCCCAGCAGAUGGACAGGCUUCUCGGGCAAUUUCUAAAGCUUGAAUCACCUCCCAGGCGGAAGCUCCGGAAGCUGCGUGGCUUUCAGAUGAGGCAGAACGCUUGAAGGAAUAUUUUCCCCCAGAACACCGGGGUGGAGCUGUUGGAGCCCUAGGUGGCUCUAAAUCAGGGACGCAGGAUCACAACUCUCAUCCCCGAAGCAUAAUAAAACCUUGGUCCUGAGACCACUUCGCCGGGCCAUUAAAUAGCCUUUCGUGCAUCACAGGGUCACCCCUGUGUGAGGCUGGUCUCCAGCAGAGAAUCCCAACUAGCAAUCGUCACGUACUGCGCUGUCAUCAGAAGGCUUCGAGUCAGUCGCCAGCUAGAUGGAGCCCAACUUUCUCCAUACUGAAAAUAUGAUUACCUUCAGAGCUGAACAUAUGUCCACAGAUAUUGAAACCUAAAGGAAGAAAUGCUCUCUCACUCGCGGAAAAGAUUUGAUUG
rnacentral:lncRNA from 1 species